GCAGUAGCUCAGUGGCAGGGACAUAUGCUUUUCAUGCAGAAGGUCCCAGGUUCAAUCCCUGUUAUCUCCA